GAGUUUGAUCCUGGCUCAGGGCAAACGCUGGCGGCGUGCCUAAACAUGCAAGUCGAACGCAGACUUCGGUCUGAGUGGCAGACGGCUGAGUAACGCGUGGGUGACGUACCCGAUGGUGGGGAAUAACUGCCCGAAAGGGUGGCUAAUACCGCAUACGCCUGUUCGUUCGUGCGGACAGGGAAAGUCGCAAGACGCCAAUGUGAGCGGCCCGCGUUCGAUUAGCUAGCUGGUGGGGUAACGGCCUACCAGGGCGACGAUCGAUAGCUGGUCUCAGAGGAUGAUCAGCCAGACUGGGACUGAGACACGGCCCAGACUCCUACGGGAGGCAGCAGUUAGGAAUUUUGGGCAAUGGGCGCAAGCCUGACCCAGCAACGCCGCGUGGGUGACGAAGGCCUCGGUUGUAA
rnacentral:rRNA from 1 species